GUGGGGAAUUUUGGACAAUGGGCGCAAGCCUGAUCCAGCAAUGCCGCGUGCAGGAAGAAGGCCUUCGGGUUGUAAACUGCUUUUGUACGGAACGAAACGGUCCGGGUUAAUACCCUGGGCUAAUGACGGUACCGUAAGAAUAAGCACCGGCUAACUACGUGCCAGCAGCCGCGGUAAUACGUAGGGUGCAAGCGUUAAUUGGAAUUACUGGGCGUAAAGCGUGCGCAGGCGGUUUUGUAAGACAGGCGUGAAAUCCCCGGGCUCAACCUGGGAAUUGCGCUUGUGACUGCAAGGCUGGAGUGCGGCAGAGGGGGAUGGAAUUCCGCGUGUAGCAGUGAAAUGCGUAGAUAUGCGGAGGAACACCGAUGGCGAAGGCAAUCCCCUGGGCCUGCACUGACGCUCAUGCACGAAAGCGUGGGGAUCAAACAGGAUUAGAAACCCCUGUAGUCC
rnacentral:rRNA from 1 species